GCCUGGGUGGCUCAGUCGGUUGAGCGUCCGACUUUGACUCAGGUCGUGAUCUCACGGUUCGCGAGCUCGAGUCCCGCAUCGGGCU
rnacentral:tRNA from 1 species